rnacentral:tRNA from 1 species
CAGGUUAUAGCUUAUUUAAAGCUUUUUAGUUACAUUAAUAGGAAAAUUUAUCUUUUAAUCUGA